GGGAAAGGCCAUACCUCAAUGAUAGAGCAUCUGCUUUUUCUGCAGAAGGUCCCAGGUUCAAUCCCCGGAAUCCCCA